rnacentral:rRNA from 1 species
ACGACUGCUAAGACUGGAUAGGAAGUUUUAAGGCAUCUUGAAACUUUUAAAAGACCUGAAAGGGUAUGCUGAGAGAUGAGCUUGCGGCACAUUAGUUAGUUGGUAAGGUAAAGGCUUACCAAGACUAUGAUGUGUAGCUGGACUGAGAGGUUGAACGGCCACAUUGGGACUGAGAUACGGCCCAAACUCCUACGGGAGGCAGCAGUAAGGAAUUUUCGGCAAUGGAGGAAACUCUGACCGAGCAACGCCGCGUGAACGAUGAAGUAUUUCGGUAUGUAAAGUUCUUUUAUUAAAGAAGAAAAAAUGGUGGAAAAAUCAUUCUGACGGUAUUUAAUGAAUAAGCCCCGGCUAACUAUGUGCCAGCAGCUGCGGUAAUACAUAGGGGGCAAGCGUUAUCCGGAUUUAUUGGGCGUAAAGGGUGUGUAGGCGGUUUAAUAAGUCUAUGGUGUAAGUGCAACGCUCAACGUUGUGAAGCUAUAGAAACUGUUAGACUUGAGUUGGAUAGAGGCAAGUGGAAUUCCAUGUGUAGCGGUAAAAUGCGUAAAGAUAUGGAGGAACACCAGUAGCGAAGGCGGCUUGCUGGGUCUUAACUGACGCUGAGGCACGAAAGCGUGGGGAGCAAACAGGAUUAGAUACCCUGGUAGUCCACGCCGUAAACGAUGAGUACUAAGUGUUGGGUUAAACCAGUGCUGAAGUUAACACAUUAAGUACUCCGCCUGAGUAGUACGUACGCAAGUAUGAAACUUAAAGGAAUUGACGGGACUCCGCACAAGCGGUGGAUCAUGUUGUUUAAUUCGAAGAUACGCGAAAAACCUUACCAGGUCUUGACAUAACGUGGCAAAGCUAUUGAAAGAUAGUGGAGGUUAUCCACGUUACAGGUGGUGCAUGGGUUGUCGUCAGCUCGUGUCGUGAGAUGUUGGGUUAAGUCCCGCAACGAGCGCAACCCUUAUUGCUAGUUACCAUCAUUUAGUUGGGCACUUUAGUGAGACUGCCAAUGAUAAAUUGGAGGAAGGUGGGGAUUACGUCAAAUCAUCAUGCCCCUUAUGACCUGGGCUACAAACGUGAUACAAUGGCUGUUACAAAGAGUAGCUGAAACGUGAGUUCUUAGCCAAUCUCAAAAAAACAGUCUCAGUUCGGAUUGAAGUCUGCAACUCGACUUCAUGAAGUCGGAAUCGCUAGUAAUCGCGAAUCAGCAUGUCGUGGUGAAUACGUUCUCGGGGUUUGUACACACCGCCCGUCA